GAAAAAAACAGUUUUCCCAGCUUCUUUUCUACUUUCACAAGGCAACUGCACUGCCAGUAGAAGUUUCUGCAAGAAGAAUGCAAUUUACUUUUGCCAAGACAAAAAAGGAUUAACUUAAUGUGGUGCCGCUCUGCUUGCCAAUAAGUUAUAAUACCUUAGGCUGGAAAGAUUGUGGAAGUCAUCUUGUCCAGCUUUUCCUUCCCAGAAUGGCCUCCCGAAGCAGAGGUUAUCCAGCUUUUGCGGGGAAACUUCCACUGAUCUUUCAAUGGCUCACUUUGGCAUGGUACCAGUUGUUACAGAACUCUUUAUUGAUUUUCAUUUUGUAAUAUCAUUUUAGAGAUUCUAGGUCCAUCUUCUACAUAAGUGCAAGCCUUGGCAUCACAAAGAUCUGGGGUUACAUCUUUCUAACAUGGAAUAUUGUUUAUCCUCACUCAACUCCCACCUGCUCAUUAUUAAAAUGAAAAGAGAAUCUCUAGUACUGUCAGAUCAAGGAACUGGGGACAUGCCGUGGAAUCCAAGUCCAUCAAGGCUGGGGUCUGUGUUCUCUAUAUUAACUGAAGAUAAGGAUUUCAGGAUCCAGAAUAAGCUCCUUUCAACUUACGACUGCAACAAUGAAACUUAA
rnacentral:lncRNA from 1 species